rnacentral:piRNA from 1 species
UCUGGGUAGGUCUGGGAAAAGGGCUGUCU